AUGGCUCAGGAUGAACGCUGGCGGCGUGCCUAACACAUGCAAGUCGAACGGGGUUAAGUGAAAUUUCGGAUGGAGCUUAACUUAGUGGCGGACGGGUGAGUAACGCGUGGAUAACCUGCCUCACACUGGGGGAUAGCAGCUGGAAACGGCUGGUAAUACCGCAUAAGACCACAGCACCGCAUGGUGCAGGGGUAAAAGAUUUAUCGGUGUGAGAUGGAUCCGCGUCUGAUUAGCCAGUUGGCGGGUAACGGCCCACCAAAGCGACGAUCAGUAGCCGGCCUGAGAGGGUGAACGGCCACAUUGGGACUGAGACACGGCCCAAACUCCUACGGGAGGCAGCAGUGGGGAAUAUUGCACAAUGGGCGCGAGCCUGAUGCAGCAACGCCCGCGUGAGUGAAGAAGUAUUUCGGUAUGUAAAGCUCUAUCGGCAGGGAAGAAAGGCCCUUAACAGGGAGAUGACGGUACCUGACUAAGAAGCCCCGGCUAACUACGUGCCAGCAGCGGC
rnacentral:rRNA from 1 species